GAAAAGUGACCUAUUUUGUGAAAUUGAUGGCUCAGGUUAUAUUCAACAGUUCAACCAAAUAAAACUAAUAGUAACAUAGGAUUUGGUUUGAUAUUCUACAUUUCUAUAUGGAGCAUUUGACCCUACUUGACUUUUAAUUUCGGUGAUGCUCUUUUUGCUUAUUAAUUUGAUAAGCAUAGUUUUUCAGUAGUGGCGUUGGGC
rnacentral:lncRNA from 1 species